AACGAACGCUGGCGGCGUGCCUAACACAUGCAAGUCGAGCGAGAAAGUUCCCUUCGGGGAGCGAGUAAAGCGGCGAACGGGUGAGUAACACGUAGGUAACCUACCCUCGAGUCCGGGAUAACCGGUCGAAAGACUGGCUAAUACUGGAUACGACUGCGAGAGCGUCGGCUCUUGCGGUGAAAGGUGGCCUCUGCUUGCAAGCUAUCACUCAUGGAUGGGCCUGCGGACCAUUAGCUAGUUGGUGAGGUAACGGCUCACCAAGGCAAAGAUGGUUAGCUGGUCUGAGAGGACGGCCAGCCACACUGGGACUGAAACACGGCCCAGACUCCUACGGGAGGCAG
rnacentral:rRNA from 1 species